rnacentral:lncRNA from 1 species
UACGCAGUAAAACUCACUGGCUCCAGAGUCACAUAGGGUCUAAAUAAAAUAAUCUAACUGCAUUCACAACCACAAUUCUGAGGUCCUAUUCACUUGCUCCUUUAAUGCUGUUAACUGCUCCUACCCUAUCAGUUCUGAGUUGGCCAUGGAUGAAAGGAGCUGCAGUAGAUAUAAAACCAAGAGCAUAAUAAAUAUAAAGAUGAGGGUUUUCCCAAGCUUUUCUGCCUGCCUCCAGGUUUUUAUUUUCAAGAAAAGAGCACAGCUCUUCAUGGCAUACACUUUCUCAUCUCUCUAUUC